rnacentral:lncRNA from 1 species
AUAGCCAAUCGUUAUCUGCCCGGCUCCCGGAGGCUGCCCGAGAAUGGGGUUGUACAGGGUUGGGAAUUGUUUCCAAAGUGCCGCGGAAUAAAUGGUGUUCCUUAUCUCUGCCUUCCAGAUUAUCAGAGCCCUUUCAGAGAGCGCACAACAAAUGCGCCCGCCAUCGAAUGCAGCAUUUACCACCGCAGAUCCGCGCGCUGAUGGGCAGCCAGAUAGCCAUCCGCGGGGGGCACCGUGGAGCGCCCUGCGCCCAGCGCGCCUCCAGCCUGCGCGCAGGGGCCACCCGAGUGUGCGCUCUCUCCGGGGGAGAGACUGUAGCCGGGCAGCCUUUGGAAGGCCAGCGACGGAGUGGACGCUCAGCACACGGGGGAGACGUGGGUAUGCGUGUGCCAGGGUGUCAGACAUGUGUCCUGCAAGGAAGCGCACGUGUCCCAACCUUGGUGGCCCCGAGGAGCGCCUGGAGAUGGCCUUGGAAAGACGCGCGUGGCGACGGGCCUGGCACGCACGUGUGACUCAUGAAGCUGGGGUCUUUGGGCAAGCCAGCUCCUGUCUGGAAUUUGCAGCUUUUCCAUCCAUCCUUUCAGCAAACACUUAUGGAGCACCUACUGAAUGCCAUACUGACCCUGGGCAGCCCCCCCCCCAAAAAAAAAAAAUGAUUGUGCAAGCUUGCGUUGGCAUGCCUCAAUGCAUGUCACCCCUUCCAGGAUGCUUUGGAGGGGGGACACACACCAGAAAGGGGCGUGGCAGCCGCGAGGGAGCGUGGGGUGCGCGCUUGGUGCGUUUUGGGGGGGCUUGCAAGCUGCAGAGCAUGCGCAUCUGUGGGAGGUGAAUGCACGUGUCAGCGUGUGGCUGGGGUGUGCACCCGGGAAGAUGCGUCCUGAAAAAUGCCUCUUUCAGCCCAGGUGUGCCCAGGUGCACAGCAAGAGGGCGAGAGGACAGGCCUGACCGGGUGCUUGCGAGUGUAGACUCCUACAGGGACAGAGAGAGGCGUGCGCGGGGAUGGGGGUGAGGGGGGACAGUGGGAUGUGCCAUGUUGGUGGCAGAAACUGGCUACGGAGCCAAGAGGAGCGAGUCCAGGAGUUUGGGGACACUUAUGGACACUUAUGGAGCACCUACUGUAUACCAUACUGACCCAGGGGUCCUGGUCCCCACAGCCUCUCGGCUGUAAACCCUGAAGCUGGGGCAAGAGAGCCCCAGAGCCUGGCUGCCUGAGGUCCCUGCGCCGUGAGUGACACGCGCCGCCGACAAAGGCUGUAUUUUUCCAGCCCUGCGCCCCGCCCGUGCGCGCGCGAUGGUCCCCAUGGCGACGCAGAUAGCGCCUCAGCCAUUUUCCCUAUCUCCCCCGAGUCUAUUAUACGGCGGGAUUAGCUCAUCUCCAGGCAGGUCAAACCCAAAGUCACCCAACCUGCAGCGCCGACCCCGCCCCCCCGGGUCCCUCCCCCUUCUCGGGUCGCGUCUGCGCUUGGAGACCCCCGGGCCGCGGCCCAUGAGCGAGCGCACAGCGCCACCUGGCGUCCCCAGUGGACUCCGCGCGAGCCAUCUGCACCCGAAGGAGACCAGGGGGAGGGGGUCCCUUGGUCCAGAAGCAGGAACUUUUUGUUUUGGGCCCCUGGGUCAGUAUGGUAUACAGUAGGUGCUCCAUAAGUGCUUGUUGAAAGGUUGCAUGGAAAGACCAGAAAUUCUAGACAGGAACUGACCAGCUUCAUGGGUCACCAAAAACCCAUUUCUGAAAAGGCACCCAGUUGACUUUAGAAUAAAAGCCAAACUCCUUUGGAAACCUACAGAAGAACUUGGUGACAUCCCGGGUGGGUCCCCCAUUUCCUUCUUCUGUCUCUCAGGGACUGUGUGUGGCCUUCCUUCUGUUCAGAUUGGACCCAGGA